GAUGAACACUGGCGGCAUGCUUAACACAUGCAAGUCGGACGGGAAGUGGUGUUUCCCGUGGCGGACGGGUGAGUAACGCGUAAGAACCUGCCCUUGGGAGGGGAACAACAGCUGGAAACGGCUGCUAAUACCCCGUAGGCUGAGUAGCAAAAGGAGGAAUCCGCCUGAGGAGGGGCUCGCGUCUGAUUAGCUAGUUGGUGAGGCAAUAGCUUACCAAGGCGAUGAUCAGUAGCUGGUCCGAGAGGAUGAUCAGCCACACUGGGACUGAGACACGCCCCGGACUCCUACGGGAGGCAGCAGUGGGGAAUAUUCCGCAAUGGGCGAAAGGCUGACAGAGCAAUGCCGCGUGGAGGUAGAAGGCCUACGGGUCGUGAACUUCUUGUCCCGGAGAAGAAGCAAUGACGGUAUCUGGAGAAUAAGCAUCGGCUAACUCUGUG
rnacentral:rRNA from 1 species